rnacentral:rRNA from 1 species
CGGGUAGAUCCGUGCCAGAGGCAGCGGUAAGACGGAGGGGGCAAGCGUUAUCCGGAUUUAUUGGGUUUAAAGGGUCCGUAGGCAGGCUUAUAAGUCAGUGGUGAAAGCCGGCAGCUUAACUGUCGAACUGCCAUUGAUACUGUAAGUCUUGAGUGUAUUUGAAGUGGCUGGAAUAAGUAGUGUAGCGGUGAAAUGCAUAGAUAUUACUUAGAACACCAAUUGCGAAGGCAGGUCACUAAGAUACAACUGACGCUGAUGGACGAAAGCGUGGGGAGCGAACAGGAUUAGAUACCCGAUAGUC